rnacentral:tRNA from 1 species
GAGGCUAUAGCUCAGUGGUAGAGUGCAUGCUUAGUGUGCACAAGGUCCUGGGUUCAAUCCCAAGUACCUCCA